AGAGUUGAUCCUGGCUCAGGAUGAACGCUAGCUACAGGCUUAACACAUGCAAGUCGAGGGGCAGCAUGUUGGUUGCUUGCAACCAAUGAUGGCGACCGGCGCACGGGUGAGUAACGCGUAUCCAACCUUCCCUAUAGUAGAGGAUAGCCCGGCGAAAGUCGGAUUAAUACUCUAUGUUUUCCAAUGCAGACAUCUAAGUUGGAACAAAGGUUCACCGCUAUAGGAUGGGGAUGCGUCUGAUUAGAUAGUCGGCGGGGUAACGGCCCACCGAGUCGACGAUCAGUAGGGGUUCUGAGAGGAAGGUCCCCCACAUCGGAACUGAGACACGGUCCAAACUCCUACGGGAGGCAGCAGUGAGGAAUAUUGGUCAAUGGGCGAGAGCCUGAACCAGCCAAGUAAGCGUGCAGGAUGACGGCCCUAUGGGUUGUAAACUGCUUUUAUACAGGGAUAAAGUGACGUACGUGUACGUUUUUGUAGGUACUGUAUGAAUAAGGACCGGCUAAUUCCGUGCCAGCCGCCGC
rnacentral:rRNA from 1 species